UACGAAGGGGGCUAGCGUUGCUCGGAUUUACUGGGCGUAAAGAGCGCGCAGGCGGUCGUUCAAGUCGCGUGUGAAAGCCCCCGGCUCAACUGGGGAGGGUCACGCGAUACUGAUCGACUCGAAGGCAGGAGAGGGUAGUGGAAUUCCCGGUGUAGUGGUGAAAUGCGUAGAUAUCGGGAGGAACACCAGUGGCGAAGGCGACUACCUGGCCUGUUCUUGACGCUGAGGCGCGAAAGCUAGGGGAGCAAACGGG
rnacentral:rRNA from 1 species